GACCCGUUCAUUUGUACUUGUUCUGAUGUAAACGACACAACUCUAGAAAAAACUAUUUCGAGUGGAAGAAGGCGGAAAAAAGCCUGAUAUAUUCUGCAAUGUUCAUUUAAAUUUGUUUUGUAUACAUUUGAUAGCGUAGAGCCAGCUAAGUCUUUUAAAGUUGGGCUGUUACCUAGCGGCACAUAUGUUUGAACUCCUUGGAGUCAUGCCACACAGGAAAAUUAACUUAUUAAUUGUACAAUCUACUAGUGUUUAAAUAUGUUAAAUUUGAUAAGUUUUCAUGUAGAUUUAAGUUAAAUAAGAAUAUGUAACACCAUUUCUGUAGGAGUGCAAAAAGCGGGAUAAAUCAAACUUUUUGUAAAAAUGCCGGGAUUUGACGGUAAAAAAGCUAUUUCGGCAACACUGAUAUUUAUUAUGAUUCGCUUUCCUGAGGAAGGGUUUGCUGAAGAUAAUAAAGCAUCUCCCCAAACAGAUAAGCAGCAUCAAAAAGAAAUAUUAAGCAAAUCGCAUUACCAUACGCUAAUAUCCCCGGAAGUUUGUUCAGAAACCUUCAAGAAUAAUUACUCACAAAAAGAUCGUUUUCCUAAUAACAUGUCAUACGCAACCCAUAUUGUAAAGUCGAGUUCACCAGCUUCAAGCUUGGGAGAGUCAGUAUUUACCUCUGAGUUUGGUAAUCAAAUACUAGCAUCUCAAGGUCAACAAAUACAGACAAUGACCCCCAGUGGUGAUAUUAACUUUUACAGUUUUCCUGAUUUUAUUGCUGACCAUGAAAAGACUAUUUUGUCAGAUGCUGAAAAGCUUCUAAUAUCAAAAGAGAAUGAUAUUUACAGUAAUGAAUAUAAUCAAAUACAUGAUGUUUUUGCCAUUCGCAAAUAUUACCAUCCUUUAUUCGCUCAUGGAAUAUGCCGCUGGCCAGGUUGUGAAGUGGAUUUGGAAGAUAUUUCCUCGUUUGUAAAGCAUCUAAAUUUGGAACAUGCGUUAGAUGACCGAUCGACAGCCCAGGCUCGAGUACAAAUGCAAGUUGUUUCACAACUGGAAUCUCACCUGCAAAAGGAAAGAGAUCGCUUGCAAGCUAUGAUGCAUCAUUUAUACUUAUCAAAACAACUAUUAUCGCCAUCGAAAAUGGAUCGAAAGGAUGUUUCUGGAAAUGACAAGAGUUUAUGCAGUGGAACAUCUCCACAUGUAAUAAAUAAUGUAGUUCGAUCUCUAUAUCGACCGCAAUCUCCCAGCUCGAUUAACCAUCCUAUUGUUAACUCUAGUAGUUUAUCGGCUGUAAAAAAAAGAAGUCAUGAAAAAAAUACGUUUUCUGUUACUGGUGGCUUGCCUUACAUGCUAGAAAGGGCAGGACUGGAUGUACAACAUGAAAUACAACGCAAUAGAGAGUUCUAUAAAAACGCCGACGUUCGUCCACCAUUUACAUAUGCUUCCCUUAUUAGACAAGCUAUCAUCGACUCACCUGACAAGCAGUUGACACUAAACGAAAUAUAUAAUUGGUUCCAAAACACAUUUUGUUACUUCAGGAGAAAUGCAGCAACUUGGAAGGAUAUCUUCACUCGGCUAUUUAAAAUGUCAUGAAAGCGGACAUUGCUUUUAAACUUCAGCAGGGGGCUCAAUUAUGAGUCUGCUGCUGACUCUGCCUGUUGCUCGGGGCGCCCAUGACCGUUAUAGAACUGACUCACUCGGAUGAUGUCGGCGUGGUCUCUCCCGAGGCCGUUUCUUAGCCUAUCCUUCGGGAUAUAGUCGUGGAAAAGUGCGCCGUUGAGCCGGAACCUGGCCCUGAUGGUGACCUGCUGGCCUCUCUGGUUCGAGAGUUUUUUGGACUGUUUGGUUUUUGGACUUGACAAAAGGCAUCGAAGGUUCCUUGAAGUCUAUUUGGCUUCUGUCACACUUCUGGGUACCGUCGAGGCAUGCUGUGGGACGGGUGCGACGCAGGAUCGAAUCUAUAUCGUCCUGGGUCACAUGGCUCUGAAGCUUAUAUAACUAUGGCCAGCACCCACCAAAUGUAAACACAGAGUGAGACAAAACCAAUGGUUAUUUUGUCAUGGCGACCUCCUCCAGGCUAUGAUAGACAGUCAGAAACGCUUCGACAAAUUGCGAACGUGUCGUCUGACAAAACUACCCUAAUAUUGCAUUUUUAUCACGAGAUGCCUUUGUCAUUGCGGCUACCAACAGGCUACGGUGCACGGUCGCAAACGUAUCGCCAACAUGCGUACGUAACUUGCCACCAUCAGCCACAACACGAAAAACUCCUCAUGCUCACGGAUACUUUGGGUAUCUCUGCCUUCUUGUGCUUCGCGGAUUCCACUAAACGCUGCGCGGUCAUGGGCCCCUUCUCGUGCCACACAACACAUCAGCGGUUUGGAUCCUAAAGCCAAGGGAGAUUUUUCUCUGUACCUGCGUUGAUAUUUUUAUUUAUUUCCUCCUUCAGUCGGGAGCUUCUUCAAUUUGGGCCCCAUAUUAUUACGGAACUGCUUGUUUCCUUUUUGGCCCGCGCCGGCUGGCUCAUCUGGGUGUAAUCCCAUCCCUGGCCCGCAGUUCGCACAACCGAUAUCAACACGCUACUACGUCGGUAGCAAAACAAACCUACGCAACACUUUAAACUACAAACUCGAUAAACAUCAAAUGAACAACGCAAAUGGUUUUAACAACAACUAAAUGAAAAUAACAAAAAUCGGUCCCCGGUGCCGGACCCAGCGUACCCUCCAUACCUGAGACUAUCACCUAAUUCCGUCUCCCUCAUUAUAGCCAGGGGAUGGCCUUCAUUAGCCCGUGUCGGCAUUAAUGCCCUCUCUCACCAUCAUCAGACAUUUCUUUCUUUGGUUUUUCCAUUUAAUUUAUUUAAUUUCUUGCAGUUAUUAACAAUUAAUAUUAUUUCUUAUUGCAUUUAUCUUUGCAGAAUAUUUCCACUCUGCUAUUUAAAAUCUCGUGCAAGCGGACAUUUUUUUAAAUAAUUUCUAAAAUUUUUUUUGUUUUUUAAGAAUACCUUUUUUUUAAUACAUCAUACUGAACAGACGAAAAAAACACUGCAAAGUUUUUGGUAGUUGCAGAAAAAUAAAAUAUGAAAAUAUACCAAUAAAAGGUAGUUGUUGCACCACUGAGUACUCGCUGAAA